rnacentral:rRNA from 1 species
GACGAACGCUGGCGGCGUGCCUAAUACAUGCAAGUCGAGCGCGGGAAGCUUGCGGAAUCCUUCGGGGGGAAGUGAGUGGACCGAGCGGCGGACGGGUGAGUAACACGUGGGCAACCUGCCCGUAAGACGGGGAUAACCCCGGGAAACCGGGGCUAAUACCGGAUAGGUGACCUUUCUGCAUGGAGGGGUCAUGAAAGGCGGCGGAAGCCGUCGCUUACGGAGGGGCCCGCGGCGCAUUAGCUAGUUGGUGAGGGAAGGGCUCACCAAGGCGACGAUGCGUAGCCGGCCUGAGAGGGUGAACGGCCACACUGGGACUGAGACACGGCCCAGACUCCUACGGGAGGCAGCAGUAGGGAAUCUUCCGCAAUGGACGGAAGUCUGACGGAGCAACGCCGCGUGAGUGAGGAAGGCCUUCGGGUCGUAAAGCUCUGUUGUUCGUGAAGAAGGGGUUGGCCAGGAAAUGGGCCGACAUUGACGGUAGCGAACCAGAAAGCCCCGGCUAACUACGUGCCAGCAGCCGCGGUAACACGUAGGGGGCAAGCGUUGUCCGGAAUGAUUGGGCGUAAAGGGCGCGCAGGCGGCCUCUUAAGUCUGAUGUGAAAGCCCACGGCUCAACCGUGGAGGGACAUUGGAAACUGGGGGGCUUGAGUGCAGGAGAGGGGAGUGGAAUUCCACGUGUAGCGGUGAAAUGCGUAGAGAUGUGGAGGAACACCAGUGGCGAGGGCGGCUCUCUGGCCUGUGACUGACGCUGAGGCGCGAAAGCGUGGGGAGCGAACAGGAUUAGAUACCCUGGUAGUCCACGCCGUA